UGAAGUUGUGUCUUUAGCAUUUCUAGGAAGU
rnacentral:piRNA from 1 species